UACGUAGGGCGCAAGCGUUGUCCGGAAUUAUUGGGCGUAAAGAGCUCGUAGGCGGCGUGUCGCGUCGGGAGUGAAAGACCGGGGCUUAACCCCGGUUCUGCUUCCGGUACGGGCAUGCUGGAGUGUGGCAGGGGAGACUGGAAUUCCUGGUGUAGCGGUGGAAUGCGCAGAUAUCAGGAGGAACACCGGUGGCGAAGGCGGGUCUCUGGGCCAUUACUGACGCUGAGACGCGAAAGCGUGGGGAGCGAACAGG
rnacentral:rRNA from 1 species